rnacentral:rRNA from 1 species
UCCUGGCUCAGAUUGAACGCUGGCGGCAUGCCUUACACAUGCAAGUCGAACGGCAGCGGACCUUCGGGUGCCGGCGAGUGGCGAACGGGUGAGUAAUAUAUCGGAACGUACCUUUCAGUGGGGGAUAACGUAGCGAAAGUUACGCUAAUACCGCAUAUUCUGUGAGCAGGAAAGCAGGGGAUCGCAAGACCUUGCGCUGAUUGAGCGGCCGAUAUCAGAUUAGCUAGUUGGUGAGGUAAAGGCUCACCAAGGCGACGAUCUGUAGCGGGUCUGAGAGGAUGAUCCGCCACACUGGAACCUGAGACACGGUCCAGACUCCUACGGGAGGCAGCAGUGGGGAAUUUUGGACAAUGGGCGCAAGCCUGAUCCAGCCAUGCCGCGUGAGUGAAGAAGGCCUUCGGGUUGUAAAGCUCUUUCGGCCGGGAAGAAAUCGCACAGGUUAAUACCCUGUGUGGAUGACGGUACCGGAAUAAGAAGCACCGGCUAACUACGUG